CCUGGUGGCUCAGAUGGUAAAGCGUCUGCCUGCAAUGCGGGAGACCUGGGUUCGAUUCCCUGGGUCGGGA
rnacentral:tRNA from 1 species